UGGGGAAUAUUGGACAAUGGGGGCAACCCUGAUCCAGCCAUGCCGCGUGAGUGAUGAAGGCCCUAGGGUUGUAAAGCUCUUUUGUGCGGGAAGAUAAUGACGGUACCGCAAGAAUAAGCCCCGGCUAACUUCGUGCCAGCAGCCGCGGUAAUACGAAGGGGGCUAGCGUUGCUCGGAAUCACUGGGCGUAAAGGGUGCGUAGGCGGGUUUCUAAGUCAGAGGUGAAAGCCUGGAGCUCAACUCCAGAACUGCCUUUGAUACUGGAAGUCUUGAGUAUGGCAGAGGUGAGUGGAACUGCGAGUGUAGAGGUGAAAUUCGUAGAUAUUCGCAAGAACACCAGUGGCGAAGGCGGCUCACUGGGCCAUUACUGACGCUGAGGCACGAAAGCGUGGGGAGCAAAACAGGAUUAGAUACCCUGGUAGUCCACGCCGUAAAACGAUGAAUGCCAGCCGUUAGUGGGUUUUACUCACUAGUGGCGCAGCUAACGCUUUUAAGCAUUCCGCCUGGGGAGUACGGUCGCAAGAUUAAAAACUUAAAGGAAUUGACGGGGUCAUAGCUGUUUCCU
rnacentral:rRNA from 1 species